GGGGCAAUCUGUUACAGGUAGCCUACGUAGUGCGCUAAUACAUGCAGUCGAGCGACGGAGUAGGAGCUUGCUCCUUUGACGUUAGCGGCGGACCGUUGAGUAACACGUGGGCAACCUACCUUAUAGAUUGGGAUACCUCCGGGAAACCGGGGCUAAUACCGAAUAAUCUAUUUUACUUCAUGGUGAAAUACUGAAAGACGGUUUCGGCUGUCGCUAUAAGAUGGGCCCGCGGCGCAUUAGCUAGUUGGUGAGGUAACGGCUCACCAAGGCGACGAUGCGUAGCCGACCUGAGAGGGUGAUCGGCCACACUGGGACUGAGACACGGCCCAGACUCCUACGGGAGGCAGCAGUAGGGAAUCUUCCACAAUGGGCGAAAGCCUGAUGGAGCAACGCCGCGUGAGUGAAGAAGGUUUUCGGAUCGUAAAACUCUGUUGUAAGGGAAGAACAAGUACAAUAUUAACUGGCUGUACCUUGACCGUACCUUAUUAAAAAGCCACGGCUAACUACGUGCCAACAGCCGCGGUAAUACCUAAGUGGCAAGCGUUGUCCGGAAUUAUUGGGCGUAAAGCGCGCGCAGGCGGUCCUUUAAGUCUGAUGUGAAAGCCCACGGCUCAACCGUGGAGGGUCAUUGGAAACUGGGGGACUUGAGUGCAAAAGAAGAAAGUGGAAUUCCCAGUGUAGCGGUGAAAUGCGUAGAGAUUUGGAAGAACACCAGUGGCGAAAGCGACUUUCUGGUCUGUAACUGACGCUGAAGCGCGAAAGCGUGGGGAACAAACAAGAUUAAAUACCCUGGUAGUCCACCCCCUAAACGAUGAGUGCUAAGUGUUAAGGGGUUUCCCCCCCUUAAUGCUGCAGCUAACGCAUUAACCACUUCGCCUGGGGGAAGACGGGCGCAAGAAUGAAAACUCAAGGAAAUGACGGGGGCCCCCCACAACGGGUGGAAACAUGUUGUUUUAAUUUAAAACAAACCGAAAAAAACCCUUACCAGGGCUUUGACACUCCCGUUAAAACACUGGAAAAAAAAUGGGUUUUUCCCCUCCCGGGA
rnacentral:rRNA from 1 species